GAUGAACGCUGGCGGCGUGCCUAAUACAUGCAAGUCGAGCGAACGGACGAGAAGCUUGCUUCUCUGAUGUUAGCGGCGGACGGGUGAGUAACACGUGGAUAACCUACCUAUAAGACUGGGAUAACCUCGGGAAACCGGAGCUAAUACCGGAUAAUAUUUUGAACCGCAUGGUUCAAAAGUGAAAGACGGUCUUGCUGUCACUUAUAGAUGGAUCCGCGCUGCAUUAGCUAGUUGGUAAGGUAACGGCUUACCAAGGCAACGAUGCAUAGCCGACCUGAGAGGGUGAUCGGCCACACUGGAACUGAGACACGGUCCAGACUCCUACGGGAGGCAGCAGUAGGGAAUCUUCCGCAAUGGGCGAAAGCCUGACGGAGCAACGCCGCGUGAGUGAUGAAGGUCUGCGGAUCGUAAAACUCUGUUAUUAGGGAAGAACAUAUGUGUAAGUAACUGUGCACAUCUGGACGGUACCUAAUCAGAAAGCCACGGCUAACUACGU
rnacentral:rRNA from 1 species